rnacentral:rRNA from 1 species
UACGUAGGAUCCAAGCGUUGUCCGGAUUUACUGGGUGUAAAGGGUGCGCAGGCGGACUGGUGAGUCUGGGGUGAAAUCUCGCUGCUUAACAGCGAAACUGCCUUAGAUACUAUCAGUCUUGAAUCAGCGAGAGGUUCGUGGAAUUCCGAGUGUAGCAGUGAAAUGUGUAGAUAUUCGGAAGAACACCAGUGGCGAAGGCAGCGAACUGGCGCUCGAUUGACGCUCAGGCACGAAAGCAUGGGGAUCAAACAGGAGUU